rnacentral:misc_RNA from 1 species
GUAUAAAAGGGUAUUUGCUGUCUGUUUUUUUUUUUCAAACCUUAAUUUCCUUUUCUCGAGAAAAUCCAUGGCAGGAUGACAUAUGUACACAUUACAGAGAAAGAACAUAAGGAUCAAGUUUCCAAGCACUCUCCAAGGAUUGGAGGCAAGCAAAACUCUAGUAAUACUAACAAAAUGUAUGGUUGAAACCCAAAAACAGACAGCAAAUACCCUUUUAUAC